UGGGGAAUAUUGGACAAUGGGCGCAAGCCUGAUCCAGCCAUGCCGCGUGAGUGAUGAAGGCCCUAGGGUUGUAAAGCUCUUUCACCGGUGAAGAUAAUGACGGUAACCGGAGAAGAAGCCCCGGCUAACUUCGUGCCAGCAGCCGCGGUAAUACGAAGGGGGCUAGCGUUGUUCGGAUUUACUGGGCGUAAAGCGCACGUAGGCGGACUAUUAAGUCAGGGGUGAAAUCCCGGGGCUCAACCCCGGAACUGCCUUUGAUACUGGUAGUCUUGAGUUCGAGAGAGGUGAGUGGAAUUCCGGGUGUAGAGGUGAAAUUCGUAGAUAUUCGGAGGAACACCAGUGGCGAAAGCGGCUCACUGGCUCGAUACUGACGCUGAGGUGCGAAAGCGUGGAGAGCAAACAGG
rnacentral:rRNA from 1 species